rnacentral:rRNA from 1 species
GACGAACGCUGGCGGCGUGCUUAACACAUGCAAGUCGAACGGAAAGGCCCUGCUUUUGUGGGGUUCUCGAGUGGCGAACGGGUGAGUAACACGUGAGUAACCUGCCCUUGACUUUGGGAUAACUUCAGGAAACUGGGGCUAAUACCGGAUAGGAGCUCCUGCUGCAUGGUGGGGGUUGGAAAGUUUCGGCGGUUGGGGAUGGACUCGCGGCUCAUCAGCUUGUUGGUGGGGUAGUGGCUUACCAAGGCUUUGACGGGUAGCCGGCCUGAGAGGGUGAACGGCCACAUUGGGACUGAGAUACGGCCCAGACUCCUACGGGAGGCAGCAGUGGGGAAUAUUGCACAAUGGGCGGAAGCCUGAUGCAGCAACGCCGCGUGCGGGAUGACGGCCUUCGGGUUGUAAACCGCUUUCGCCUGUGACGAAGCGUGAGUGACGGUAAUGGGUAAAGAAGCACCGGCUAACUACGUG